rnacentral:rRNA from 1 species
AAACAUGUCUUUUUGAGUUAUUUUUAAAGUCUAACCUGCCCAAUGAAUAAAUUUUAAUGGCCGCAGUAUUCUGACUGUGCAAAGGUAGCAUAAUCAUUAGUCUUUUAAUUGAAGGCUUGUAUGAAUGGUUGGACGAAGUAUAUUCUGUUUCAUAUAAAUUUAAUUUAGAAUUUUAUUUUUUAGUUAAAAAGCUAAAAUUAAAUUAAAAGACGAGAAGACCCUAUAAAUCUUUAUAAUUUAUUUUAUUUUUAUUUUUUAGAUUUAAUUUUAUUUAAAUAAAAUAAAUUAUUUUGUUGGGGUGAUAUUAAAAUUUAAAUAACUUUUAAUUUUUAAAAACAUUAAUUUAUGAUUUAUUGAUCCAUUAUUAGUGAUUAAAAGAAUAAGUUACUUUAGGGAUAACAGCGUAAUUUUUUUGGAGAGUUCUUAUUGAUAAAAAAGUUUGCGACCUCGAUGUUGGAUUAAGAUAUAAUUUUAGGUGUAGUUGCUUAAAUAAUAAGUCUGUUCGACUUUUAAAUUCUUACAUGAUC